GGGGGUAGAAGGGUAACUGGUGUGCCUCCUGGUCUUCAAAACCAGUGUUGGGCGUUUGAAGCGUCCUGGGUGGGUUCGAUUCCCACAUGCCUCCGCCA
rnacentral:tRNA from 6 species